CCGAGAUUGAAGCUUCCUCGCUCGCGGAG
rnacentral:sRNA from 1 species